UACGUAGGGGCCUAGCGUUGUCCGGAAUUAUUGGGCGUAAAGAGCUCGUAGGCGGUUCGGCAAGUCGGAUGUGAAAUCUCCACGCUUAACGUGGAGGGGCCAUUCGAAACUGCUGUGACUCGAGUCCGGUAGGGGAGUGUGGAAUUCCCGGUGUAGCGGUGAAAUGCGCAGAGUAUCGGGAGGAACACCAGUAGCGAAGGCGGCACUCUGGGCCGGUACUGGACGCUGAGGAGCGAAAGCGUGGGGAGCGAACAGG
rnacentral:rRNA from 1 species